UACGGAGGAUCCGAGCGUUAUCCGGAAUUAUUGGGCGUAAAGAGCGCGCAGGUGGUUAAUUAAGUCUGAUGUGAAAGCCCACGGCUUAACCGUGGAGGGUCAUUGGAAACUGGUUGACUUGAGUGCAGAAGAGGGAAGUGGAAUUCCAUGUGUAGCGGUGAAAUGCGUAGAGAUAUGGAGGAACACCAGUGGCGAAGGCGGCUUCCUGGUCUGCAACUGACGUUGAGGCUCGAAAGCGUGGGGAGCAAACAGG
rnacentral:rRNA from 1 species